CAGUCGCCGCGGUAAUACGAAGGGUGCAAGCGUUACUCGGAGUUACUGGGCGUAAAGCGUGCGUAGGUGGCGGUUGUUUAAGUCUGUUGUGAAAUCCCCGGGCUCAACCUGGGAAUUGCAGUGGAUACUGGGUCACUAGAGUGUGGUAGAGGAUAGUGGAAUUUCCGGUGUAGCAGUGAAAUGCGUAGAGAUCGGAAGGAACAUCUGUGGCGAAGGCGACUAUCUGGGCCAACACUGACACUGAGGCACGAAAGCGUGGGGAGCAAACAGGAUUAGAUACCCGCGUAGUCCCUGUCUCUUU
rnacentral:rRNA from 1 species